AGAUUGAACGCUGGCGGCAGGCCUAACACAUGCAAGUCGAGCGGUAGAGAGGUGCUUGCAUCUCUUGAGAGCGGCGGACGGGUGAGUAAUGCCUAGGAAUCUGCCUAGUGGUGGGGGAUAACGUUCGGAAACGGACGCUAAUACCGCAUACGUCCUACGGGAGAAAGCGGGGGACCUUCGGGCCUCGCGCCAUUAGAUGAGCCUAGGUCGGAUUAGCUAGUUGGUGAGGUAAUGGCUCACCAAGGCGACGAUCCGUAACUGGUCUGAGAGGAU
rnacentral:rRNA from 1 species